GGUUGGUUAGCUCAUAUGGUUAGAGCGUGGUGCUAACAAUGCCAAGAUUGUGGGCUCAAUCCCCACACUGACCA